rnacentral:tRNA from 1 species
GGGUUCAGUGGAAGAACAUUUGCUUGGCAUACAAAGGUCCCAGGUUCUAUACCUGUCAUCUCCA